GGAUAUUCUAUGAUACUAUCCAGAAGGAUAGUCUAGGAUACUAUCCAGAAGGAUAGUCCAGGAUACUAUCUAGAAGGAUAGUAUAGGACACUAUCUAGAAGCAUUUACUAGGUUACUAGCUAGAAGCAUAGUCUAGGUUACUAUCUAGAAGCAUAGUCUAGGAUACGAUCUAGAAGGAUAGUCUGGGUUACAAUCUAGAAGCAUAGUCUAGGAUACGAUCUAGAAGGAUAGUCUAGGUUACUGUCUAGAAGGAUAUUCUAUGAUACUAUCCAGAAGGAUAGUCUAGGAUACUAUCUAGAAGGAUAGUCUAGGUUACUGUCUAGAAGGAUAUUCUAUGAUACUAUCCAGAAGGAUAGUCCAGGAUACUAUCUAGAAGCAUUGACUAGGUUACUAUCUAGAAGCAUAGUCUAGGAUACGAUCUAGAAGGAUAGUCUAGGAUACUAUCUUGAAGGAUAGUCCAGGAUACAAUCUAGGAGGAUAGUGAUUCCUUGAUAUAAUACAAACUCCAAACAUUUGAUUGGCUCUAAGUAUUAAAAAUAAACUCUUGUAUUGAUUCCCUAAGGGACUAAAUAAAAGCAGAAUAUUGUGCAGGAAAAAAAACCUCUCUUCUUCAGCUCCUGGAGCUUCAUCAACCAGGAGCCUGCGUCACUGACAACCUUUCGUGCUGAGGUCUAUGGAGGAUCCCUCAAGACCACGUUAUCUCUGGCAAUGCACAAGAAGAUACUUGUUUCUUCACAAAACUUGACUGCAGCUUAACUAUAUUCCCUAACUUGUCUUAAGAUAUCCUUUGAUUGCAUUGGAAGUUUAAUUAAAUUCCAACACAGUCAAUGUUAGUACUGAAUAAAGAUUUAUGAUACAGCCACAAAAUGGUUACAAUAUGUGCUAUAUUUAAAUAAAUACCAUCCUUUGAUUUUCAGUGCAAAAGGGAAAGUCAGAUUCUGAUUGCAUAGGUCGGCAACAGAUACAUGCUACUUGUAUUUACUCUGUGUUCUAAGGGUUAAAUCUAUAUUGGAAUGUGCUGUGUACAUAGACUUUCUAAAAUACAAAGCAAACAACAUAAAUUGACUGUAACAAAUUCUGAUAAGGCUAACAGACGUACAACAAAACAUAGCACCAUAUAGAUUCUUUGUAAAUAAAUACUAAACAAUAAAUCGUAUUACCAAAGAGUGCUUAAAAACAAAAUCCACUAAUUUAUAAAUGAAUAAUUACAUUGUAAUAUCUGUUUUCAGGGAUGGGCUGGAAACAUUAUGUUCCUUUUUAUAAAAUAAAGAUCCCCAAAUCUUUGUAUAGUAAAAAC